rnacentral:lncRNA from 1 species
UGAGGAUUACUUUGUCUCACCUUGAUGGACCGAAAUACACCACAUAACAUUUUCAUAAAUAGAUACAUAUUUAAUAUGUUCCCGAUGAUUAACUCAAGUAGUAAGAGUUAUGAGACAUAAGGGUUGGGUGGGAUGAAGGGGAAGGGUCUCGGGUUCAACCGGUUGGAUGACCUUCAGCUAGCUCUUUUCAAAUAUAUGCAGUGAUAAUGUAACUUUUUUUCUACCGUUAACUAAUCAGGUUUUAAAGAUAUGAGUAAAACAAUUUUUUAACUAAUUGAUGUCAUACAUAUUCAAAAUUUUAUUGGUUGAUAGUGUAAAAAACAUAUAAGUGCAUCAAAAUUAAACUCAUAAGUUAGGCUUUAAGUUUUUUGUAAAUAAGUUUGACCUACUUAAGAAUGAAUGUUUAAGAGCAUCUUCAUCCCUAACAUCUUAACUAAUGGUUCUUAACACUAUUCACGUAGGCUCAAAGUGCAACGUAGACUCUAAGCAACUCAUAUGCAAUUGAUGUAAAUUUCACUCCAAUCACGAGUUUUUAACUUUGAGUUCUUAGCACUAUUCUCUAGCAUAGCACCACAUUAUUUAUAUGUUUUAUUUUGAUAAAGCAGUAAAGUAAAGAUCAUAAAGCAAUAAAACAAUCUAGAUGAGAGACGAAAAUAUAUUUUAUGCUAAGAAUUUAUAAAGCAAAAUUCUUUGGCCAAGAACUGGUUCUUAGAUUUAAGAAUUAAGAACUCCACAUCAGCCUUCUUCAAUGCUUAAGAACAUGGUUCUUAAUUCUUAAUUAAUAUAAAAAAAUUACUUCUAAAAAUUAGGGUUAUGGAGUUGCUUUAAGCUUAAGUUGUUACUUGUCAUAGGAUUUUUUAGGCUUUGAUCUGAUUUUCUCGAAAGACCGACCUGACAGGGUAGUCUACAUCUCAGGGUGUGUUUGUUUUUCAGUUGGGGCAUCCAAAAGUACUUUCAGGUCUUAUGUAACUUUGUAUCACUAUGUUUGGCAAAUUAAAAACCACACUCACCCAACCCACUUUUAACCCCAACCUAACUUUCAUCUCAACUCUCCAAAUUGUCACUUCUACAUUCAUCCAACAUACUUUCAACCCCAAACUCUAUUUUGAAAUAAAAGUAUCCAAACAUAAAUCACAUUACAACUAACUCACUUUGAUUCAAACUCUGUUUUGUAAACUCACAUUCACUCAAAUUUUAUUUUGCAAACUGAAAUCCAAACACACACUCACUAGCUAGACCAAUGUGGAAAUAAACCAAGCUUAUAAGUUAAUUAGCUAAAAUAUACUACACCAAUUUUGGUGUAAAUAAUCAGUAGGAUUAUAUGCCUUUUUCUUCUCAUAUAGGCCUUCCAUAUUUCAUUUCCCAGUGAAGCUUCCUGUCUUUUUUAACGUAUUAACUUCCUCAAAUGUUAUGGCAUAAUUCAUUGACUUGACGUCAACCUUGUACAAUUGCACAUAAUUAAGUACUCCAUUCAUUGUAUGGCCUGUGUUUUUCUUCAUCGAUGGUGUCUUAUAUACAUUUAUGAUGAUCCAUGACUGAAAGGGAGUGCAUAAAAAAUUUGAGUGGUGGUCUAAUUUUGGGGAGGGUAUUGUUAUUGAGAAUUGUUAUUCAAACCCCCUCACAGUUAUUCAGAUCCUCUUUAAAUGUGUAAAAAUACUAAAAUGCCCUUAAUAAAAAAAUAUAAAAAAUUCUCACUCACAUUCUCUCCCUCUCUCCUUACCUCUUUCUUCCACCACCCACCACCUCCGCUGCCACCACCACCGCCGCCACCACCGCCACCACCUCCGUCACCACCACCACCACCAUCACCACGAGUGGCGGAACUUCAACAAAAUUACUGGGGGAGCUCAAAUAAAUUUAAAUAUAUAAAUUUCGAAAUAUUUUGUUAACAGGAAAAAAGUAUUUCAUAGUGAAUUAAAAGUCAUUUAGUCUAAGUACAUAAGUAUUUUAAUUUAUAUAUUGAUAUCAUAUACUAAAAUCCAAAUCACAUAAAGUGUUGCUAACCAUAAUGAAAUAACUGAAUUUCCUUAAGUAAAGUAGCAUAAUCAAAGUCUUGAGCCAAUGACUAUGAGCGUGAGAAGUGAGAAAGAUGAAGUUUUCAAAGUGCAAAUCCAAAAAGUAAAGUUAAAGUGAGCUUUUGUCAAUUGUGUUCAGAAAGUACUAAAAUAUUAGUAUUUUAUUUUUUUUAUAAACUUGUUGGGUAAGUCUCCUACUUUUUCUCCUUUUUCUGAUAUUAUGAGUCUAUGACGUUUUUUUAAAGAAUUUGGUACUUGAGUCGGUGACAUUGACAUGAGUUUUAUUAGUUUUAAUUUUUUUUGUGUGUAUUAAAUUACUCUCACAAUUUUAACCCGUGUAUGGUGAAAGUUAAAUAUAUCUUUAAAAAUGGGGCACCUAAGGAUCAAAGACUCAACAUAUAAUUUAACAACUUUUUACCACUGCAACUUACACUUGUUAGAUAUUAUAUAUAUGAUUUUAUAGACUAUAAUAUAUAUCUUAUAUACUAAAAAAAAAUUUGGCCAAAUCUGUGGGGGAGCUACAGCUCCUCUAUGUCAAUCUUAAGGUCCGCCACUGAUCACCACAACACCAACCACCAUAUUCUCCUCUCUAUCUCCUCUUUCCUCUUUCCUCCACCACCACCACCACCACCACCACAACAACAACCUCCAUCUUCUCCUCUCUCUUCUUCUCUCUUCUUUUCUACUGUUAAAGUGUCGUUUUUAGAAUUGUUUUUUUUUUCUACAAUCUAACGCACUUUGAAAGUGCGACCCUAACGCACUUUCAAAGUGAGACAACUGUCUCAUUUUGAAAGUGAGAGAGCACUUUCAUCUGUCUCACUUUCAAAGUGAGACAACUGCCGCACUUUGAAAGUGAGACAACUGUCGCACUUUCAAAGUGAGAGAGGGGUCGCACUUUCCAAAUGCGUUCGACAAGGGUAUUUUUAGAUUUUUGAAAAUGUUUUAGGUCUGAAUAGCUGUGGGGGGUCUGAAUAACAAUUCUCAUUGUUAUUUUAAAAUUAAUCCAUGUCAAUGAAAGAUUAUUGUUGUGGAACAUAUAUUUUCCAGGAAAUCAUUUUCUACGUCCAAAGAUAAAUAAACGAUAAAUAUAUCACCAGUCAAAAAAAUAAACAUUUAGAAAAGAACAUAUCAACUCAAGGAGGAUUUUUUCAUAAUCAAUUAUUUUUCAGGUUUUAUAUAUGCAUAUGAUGCAUAUUAUAUAAUGAAUUGUGCUUUUUUUUUCACAUUUUCUUGUGCUUUUUUUAUAAUGAAUUGUGCAUAUAUAUAUAUAUAUAUAUAUAUAUAUAUAUAUAUAUACGGGAUGUAUCUUAUGAGAAAGGUAAUCUUAUGUGAGAAAAUGAGAAUAAAUCACGACUGUUAGAUCUAACAAUCAACGGUUAAGAUUAAAAGAAUUUAAUGGUCAUGUGAUUGUCACAUGAUCACUUAAAAAAGUCGCAUGACUUAAUGUUUUAAUCUUGACCGUUGAUGGUUAGAUCUAACGGUCGUGAUUUAUUCUCAUUUUCUGACAUAGGAUUACAUUUCUCAUAAGAUACAUCUAUAUAUGCAUAUAUAUAUAUAUAUAUAUAUAUGCAUAUUAUACGCUUUUGUAGAUUGGAUAUUUUGGAGAUACCAUCUAUCAUUUUAGUGUUUGUCAUAGAAUAAUUCAUAUUCCUUGACUAAGUCAAAUUAGUGUAUAAUUUAGGUUGUAACGAGUCAAAUCAUGUCAGUCAUGGAGUUUACGUUCAGCAUAUUAAAUAAAUGAUCCUUUGUAAGGUACCAGAAGCAGAAAAGGACUACUUACUAGAAGGCUUAGUAGCACUUUUGGUCCCUCACGUUUGUCCUAUGUGUGGAAAUCGUCCCCUAAGUAAGAAAAUAGAAAAAGAAUGUCCCUCACUUUGUCAAACGGCAGCGCUUUUGGUCCUUCAUCACUGUUCCGUCAAUAAACUAACGUUUUCUGUCAAAUAUUUAACAUUUUUCCUGAAUAAAAUUGAUAAAAAAAUUAAAAAAAUGAAAACCCAUAAAAUUUAUGAUGUUCUUCAUCAUAGCCAGCAAGUUCUUCAUCUUCCUCAGUUAUUUUCCAGAAAAAUAAGAAAAAACGUGAGGGACCAAACGUAAUUGAUGUUGUUGCUCGAUUCAGGACUGAGAACAAGGAGGAUUUAGGAGGUACUUCAAAUCAACGCUCACAAUUGCGCCAUCGACGCACAAGAUCAAGGCGUGAAAGAGGGAACUGAAAUGGAGAUGCAAACCGAGUUGAUUUUUGAAUGAAACUGCAGAAAUUUCAGAUCUGACUCUCACCCACACUUUGUAUCCCUAAUGCUUGAGAAAUUUCACCUCAAACAAAUCCCUAAUUUUCCAAUGUCUGAUUUGGUGAAAUUUCAGAUCUGAAAAUGGCUGAUUCUCCCUCAACCUCCUUGUUCUCGAUCUCACCCUCCCUCUUUCACCAGUUGACUAAAACCCUUCUGCUCUCUCUCGUGGUGGUCGGAGGUGAUGGAGUGUGUGUUGAUGUCGGUGGGGGAGAGAUAGGCAGUGACACAACUUUUGUGUGUGUGGAAGAAGAAGGUUGGAAGUGUUGGAGAGAUAGUCGAACCCAUGGUUUCUGAGGAACUUUUCUUGGGUUUUUUCAGUGUUAAGAGAUGGUGAGGAAAGAAGCAUAGAGUUUUUCUAGUGUUUUUAGAUAAAGAUGAAAUUGAUGCAGAUUAUGCUGGAAGAAGAUGAUUAUUGAUAUUUUAUGUGUUUACAUUAUUAUUUUAUUUUUAAUUUUUAAUUUUAUUUCUAAAAAUCGUUAAAAUUUGAAUGAAAGUAAACGGAAUAGUGAUGAGGGACCGAAAAUGUUGUCGUUUAACAAAGUGAGGGAUUAUUUUUGCUAUUUUCUUACUUAGGGGACGAUUUUUGCACAUAUGGCAAAUGUGAGGGACCAAAAGUGUUAUUAAGCCUUACUAGAAUGAGUAGAACUCUAGAAGCAAGUAAAGUGUGGAUUGGUCGAUGAGUGGGUUAAGGGGGUAAUGAAAUUCAAAUAAGAAAGAGAAGGAAAAGAAAUGGAAUCCAUAUGUUCUCUAAUAAAUUUGAGUCAGGACUUUGAAAGAGUUUUUUUCAUGAGCCAAAGAAAUUUCAUUCAAACUUAGCACAAGGGGUGCUAAACCCAAAUACAAAGAGGAAAAGAAUGUAGUAGUAAAAUAGCCACCACAAAAAAGAAAAGAAAAUAACAAAUUAGAAAAUCAACAAAAAUGCAAAUAUUAUGAUCAAUUCCACCCACCAAAUAACACACUAACCAUAUGUUUGGUAGAGUAGAGAGAGAUAGAGAAGAGAGAGUAGAGAAGAGAGAAGUUGAGUAGAGAAAAAUAUAUGAGAAAUAGAGUAGAUUUAUAGGUUGUUUGGUAUAAUAUAGAUAAAGAAAAGAGAGAUGAAAAAUAAUGAGGUGGAAGAGUGAGAAAAAAGUAACUUUUGAUUAAAAAACCAUUUUUAAAUACAUAGUUUAUUGUGGUGGGGACCAAAAUGCAGAUAGUGGCGGUUUAGAACCACCACUAACUGCAGAGAAUAAAUAAAAAGUUGAACAUUUGGCCAUCUCUUCGCAAAACGCGAAGACUACAAAAAGCAAGGAAAUUCCACCAUUUAUCUCUCUCUUCUCUACCGUGAUUGGUUACCAAAUAAGGGUGAUUGGUCUAUCUCUCCCCUAUCUCUCUCUCUUCCAUCUCUCUCUCUCUUCAAUCUCACCUCAAACAAACAAAGUGUAAAUAAAAGGCAAACCAAUAACAGUUCACAGCAUCUCAUGGACAGCAGCGUUGCCAUAGCCAAGACUUUCAGGUUCGGAUCCAGAUCUGACAUUGAACUCCUCCUCCAUGGGUUCGUGGAUUUUUGAUUUGGUAGGGAAGGUCAAAGGUGGGAGGGGAGGGAUAUUCAGGUGCGGUAGUUUCUAUCUUCAAACACUUGAGCUUUCGCUCGUGGAUGACAGGAGAAGAAGGCAAAAGCUCGAAAUCGUCAUCGAUCUCCAUGAAAGCACCAACACCAUGGCAGAGAGAAAUAUGAGAUUUCGAACUUGAGCAAGCAGGAGAAAGAGGAAUCGCGUGAGUGAACUUGGUUCGUUGGAGAGUGCUCAGUAUAAUGAAAUAAAAUUAGUGAUGAUGAAAUUUCGUCACUAAUUUCAUGACAAACUUGUAAAACAUGUUUUCCAACGGAUUCAGUGAUGAAAGUAUCUUGUGAAAGAUAAUUUUGUAUCAAAAUCCGUAAGUAUACACAAAAAUGGAAAUUUUAGUUACGAAAUUAGUGAUGAAAUUUUUAGUUACCGAAUUUUCCGUCACUAAUUUUGUCACUAAAUACUUGGAAAACAAAUCCGUAUAUAACAUUUUUAUCAAAUCUGUCAGUCUGUCACUAAAGUCGUAACUAUUAGCUAUGAACUCUAGUCCGUCCCUAAUUUACACUUUUUUAGUAGUGACAUAUGUUCUUAAACAUCUACUCUCAAGUGCAGGUUCGAGCUCAUUAGGUGUUUCUACUUUCUAGUGAAGUAGCUUUAAAUUUUUCAUUGUUAUACCUUCAUAAUGCUUUUAAUUAAUGUCAAUUUCCAUAGUUUGAAUAUUAUUCCGACACUUCUUUUGAAAAUCGAGCAAUCUACUAUAUUCAGGGAAUAUAAAAUUUUGGAGUUAGAAGGUGAAAAAUGCGUUCCUGUAUAUAGAACAAAAAAAAACUGUGAAAAUUCAUUGAUUGAUAAACUAAUAUUUGUCUAUUUCUAAUUUAUGAGAAAAUAUCAAAUUUAAACAUUAAAAGGUAGAAGAGAAGAAAAAAUUUGCUAAAAGGAGAAAUGGGAGGAUAAUUUGGUAAGGUUGUAAUAUAUUUAUAAUCUUAAAUGCUAACCAACUGUUUAACUAUGGUUAAAUAUCGUGGCUGUUGUUCGGAAUGAUUAGCCUGGUUUUUGGUAUUGUUCUGAAAGAUAUCGGCAUUUGGGUUCUUGAUUAAUAUGGCUUCAUUAGUAUUAGAAAUCCUUUAAGUGGAGUUUCUUGCACUUCUUCAUGGGUUACUGAUUUGAUGGGAGCGGGGAUUUCAUUGUGUUGUUGUUCAUACUGAUUUGACCUUAGUUGGUUCUUUGCAUCUUCAAAGGGAGUGUCCCUAAAUUUCAUUAGUAUUCAACUAUCCUAAGUUUGCGCAGGAUUGGAGGGUGUCUUUGCAGCAUAUGUUGUAGAAGGAGAAUACAAAUGACAUAUUUUCUAACUAAGGAUAGGGCGAGAAACACUAGGAGCUUGGUAAUUCAUGAUCAUUCUCUUAAUGGCAUUGAUUCUUACUUGUUUAAGGAUUAUCGUGGCAUCUCUUUGUUGAGGGGCUAGUUUCCUUAUGUUCCUAUUUUUCCUUAUGUUUCUUUUAGCAUUGAUGUAAAAAAAAACUAUGGUUAAGCCAUAGUAAUGGAGAUUAAAACUUAGUGUCUUAUACGAAAAUUUCAAGAUAAUAAAAAAAUAAUUUUCUCUUGAAUUUAUAUGUUAUUAGAUGUUAUAGCUUUUUGUUUUCCGAUGUAGCAAAAAAAUAUGUUAUAGCUUAUUACAUACAAAUUAUAACAAGGAAAAAACUUAAGUACACCACUCUGAGUAUUGUUUAUGUUGUUGCCCAAUGCCCCAAUGAAAAUUUCAGCCAUCCACUUUCUUAAUUUAUUAAUAUAAUAAAUUUUUUUAAUUUUGAUGUCAUGUUAUAAUUGGAUAAUAUUAAAAACUAUAUAAACGAACACUACACCCAAGUUUGCAUUUAUAGUAUUAACCGAUCAAUUUUUAGUUUUUGUCUUUAACAAAUGUAAACUCGUUCAGGCAACUAUUAUAGUCUCUUCCAACAAAUAAUUUUCUUCGUAUCCAAACUUGUGUCAUCUCCCUUGAAAUGGUCUAAUUUGUCUACCAUGAGACCAACUUGGUAACAGAUUAUCUGAUCAACUAAUGAAAAGAAGAUGUUUUCAGUUUUGAAAUUUAUAAAGAAUCUAAUAUUAAAGUGAAGACCAAAUUAAAUUUGAUUUAAUGAGCUAAUUAUAGAUACAACUUGUUCGUUUGUUGCACUUCUCUGUUCUUUCCUCACAGUGGAAAUAAUGGCCAAGAGAAAAAAUCUAAAAAUAGAGAAGGAAUUAUAGAAAGUCAAGAAAGAAAAAUGAGGGGUGGAGCGAGCUAUAGGCUAUAAGGUCCAUGAGAAACGGACCAGUGAAAAUUUGGGCAAACUUUGAAUGGUUGGAAAACGUUAUGGCAAUGGUAUAAAAGUGAAGGAUUGAUGCACGUGAAGAGCAACUAAUCAACUAUCUUCUUCCAAUAAAGGGAGGAAGGAGAUAGCAAGAAAUACAGGGUUGAUUGAUUAGUUCGGUGAAAAAAACCAACAAAUAAAAUGGGUCGCGGGGUGAUGUUCAUGUUGAUGCUAUGCAUCUUGGGGGUUGCCGUGAUGGGUGAAGACCCUUACAUUUUCUACACAUGGAAUGUCACCUAUGGUACCAUUUCUCCACUUGGAGUCCCUCAGCAGGGUAUCCUCAUUAACGGCCAGUUCCCUGGACCAGAAAUCAACAGCACCAGCAACAACAAUGUGGUGGUGAAUGUGUUCAACAACCUCGACGAGCCCCUCCAAUUCACCUGGCACGGGGUCCAGCAGAGGAAGAACUCGUGGCAAGAUGGUAAAUGCUUAGUGGAUACAUAGAUUUCAUAGCCUUUCAUGUUUAUAGUCAUAUAAACUUCAUCUCUAAUUAUUACUAACUUUUAUUUCUAAAGGUGUCGCGGGAACCUCAUGCCCUAUCCUUCCCGGCACGAACUACACCUACCAUUUCCAGGUGAAGGAUCAGAUCGGAAGCUACUUCUACUACCCAACCACAGCCUUGCAUAGAGCCGCUGGUGGGUUCGGUGGCCUAAGGAUCUUUAGCCGAUUAUUGAUCCCUGUCCCAUACCCCGACCCCGAGGAUGAGUACUGGGUCAUCAUUGGUGACUGGUAUGCUAAGAGCCACAAAACCCUCAAAAGUCUCCUUGACAGUGGUCGCUCAAUUGGAAGGCCUAAUGGUGUUCUUAUCAAUGGCAAAACUGCCAAGGGUGAUGGAAGUGACCAGCCUCUCUACACAAUGAAGCCUGGAAAAACCUACAAGUACAGAAUCUGUAAUGUUGGUCUCAAGGACUCCCUCAACUUCAGGAUCCAAGGCCACCCCAUGAAGCUGGUCGAGACAGAAGGCUCCCACGUUGUCCAGAACACCUAUGACUCCCUCGAUGUCCACGUGGGUCAGUGCUACACUGUCCUCGUGACCGCCGAUAAGGACCCCAAGGACUAUUACUUGGUGGCCUCCACUCGUUUCACCAAGUACUCACUCACCGAAAAGGGAAUCAUCCGCUACACCAACGGCGUGGGACCUGCUUCACCUGAGCUCCCUCCUGCACCUGUUGGUUGGGCAUGGUCUUUGAACCAAUUCCGAUCCUUCCGGUGGAACCUCACCGCUAGUGCCGCCAGGCCUAACCCUCAGGGUUCUUACCAUUACGGUCAAAUCAACAUCACCCGCACCAUCAAGCUCGUUAACACUGUCUCCAAAGCUCAAGGCAAGCUCCGAUACGCAAUCAAUGGUGUCUCCCACGUCGAUGGUGAGACUCCUCUCAAGCUCGCCGAGUAUUUUGGUGUUGCUGACAAGGUUUUCAAGUACAACAUCAUCUCCGAUGAACCCCCAGCAGAUUUGAACACCAUCACCUUGGCACCCAAUGUCGUGAAUGCUACAUUCAGAACCUUCAUUGAGAUCAUCUUUGAGAACCCUGGCAAAACCGUCCAGUCAUACAACCUUGAUGGUUACUCAUUCUUUUUAGUCGCGUAAGUACUUGUUAUCCCCACUCAUGAGGAAAUUUAAUUAAAUACUUAAUUUUUAUAUGUUUUGUUUUAUAUCCUAUAAUCUACAGGGUAGAACCAGGGAAGUGGACCCCAGAGAAGAGGAAGAACUACAACCUUCUUGAUACCGUGAGCAGACACACCGUUCAAGUUUUCCCCAAAUCUUGGGCAGCUAUCAUGUUGACAUUCGACAAUGCUGGCAUGUGGAACUUGAGGUCGGAGCAUGCUGAGAAUCGUUACUUGGGCCAACAACUCUACAUUAGUGUUUUGUCCCCAGAACGUUCUCUAAGGGAUGAGUACAACAUUCUUGACUCUCAGCUUCUUUGCGGCAUCGUCAAGGACUUGCCCAGGCCACGACCAUAUGUCUAGAGUUGCCUUUUUUCCGUGCCAUACGGCUCUUAUUAAUUAAGAUGAUAUGAUAGAUUUGUUACAUGACUUUUCGGUCACUGAUGUAUCAACCCUUUCUUGAGUUCAAUUCAUUUUCCCUUUAUCAAUAUAGGUUAAUUUCUCCUUCACAGUUUCUUCCUAGUAUUACUUUGAAUUUUGAUAAAUUUAUCAUUUACAUGUCACUAAAAUUAAAUUUUACUCAAUCUAUCUAUAUAUAUAUAUAUAUAAAGCACAAUUGAGUUUUUGCAUUAAAUACAUAAGCAAAACUCAAGUGUGUAUUAAAAGCAACCAAAAAAAUAAAAAACUUUGUAAUAAAUAUAAUAAACAAUAAUAAAACUAAAAUUAAAAUAAUAUAUAUUGUAAAAAACUAUUCAACUACUACCAUUAAAUAAAAACAUUCAUAAACUUAAAAUUUCCUUGACUUUUGUAUUUUACAAAUAUUAAAAAUUAAAUUAAAUAAGAAAAUAAUAUUUAUUAGCAAAUAAUUUACAUAAAAUAAUUUUAAAAUUCAAAAAAUUCUAUCUAUAUAUAUAUAUAUGUAAAGGAGACUUGAGUUUUUUCCAUUAAAUAUAUCAAACAAUUCCUACCUCUACAUUAAAAUACAUUAAAAAUAAAGAAUUUCAUUUGCAAUAAAUAUAUCUAUCUAUCUAUACUAUAUAUAAAAGCAAAGUUUUUGCAAUCUAGAGGGUAAUUCUGUCAUUCAAUAUCCAUUACAUUGCAAUAUGAUUUUCAGCAUGGGUAUUUUAGUAAAAAAUAUAUAUUAUUGUUCAAAGAUUCAAUCUCAGCCGUUAUUCUGCCUUUUAUCCUCCCAAAUCAGUUUCAAUCUCACUGCCGUUAUAUCUCCCAAAUCACAAAUUUCCGUUAUUCUUUCCCAGUCCAAAUUAUACUCCCUCACAUUCACCGUUCACUUUCGGAGUUUCAGACUGUUCUCUGCUACGCUCCUUCUC